UUUCAUAUAUUUAUUGUAGGUUCUCCUAACGAUCCUUAAUCGGAUUUUCGGGUCUUUUGUCUGACAUUCCUUUAGUUCAGUAUUUUCCGGGUGAGUGGAAUAAUCUUUAAUAUGCAUAUAAUAUAAAUAAAUAUGUAUGUUGAUUAUACAAUGAGUACAACUAGUAAAUUUCUUGAAUAUUUAUAUAUGUUGCUUUAUUUUCCGAGUACUCAUUUAUUCUUGAAUUUGCACUCGCAAUCUGAUAAAGUAAAUUCUAUUUGAUAGAUAUGAUAUACGUUUUUGAUGAUGUGAAUAUCUAUUAUGCCUUGAUAUGGGACUUGUCAGUAACUCCAUGCUAACGGAGAAUAGUUAGCCUGUGUGCACAUAGUAUUCUGUUACCUAGCUGGUGAGAGAGGCAUCAGCCUGUGGCGAUUAAUCAUCCCACAGUGGUCACCGACGGGUGUCAUCUGGUCACCGACGGGUGUCAUCUGGUCACCUUCGGGUGUCAUCUGGGUCACCUUCGGGUGUCAUCUGAUCUCUGACAUGUAAUCCACUACGUUAUGAUAAUAUGUUUAGUAAGUAUAUGUAUAUGUAUAUUAAGAUAAAUCAUCUUACAAAUUAUUAAUAUCUUAAAUAUCUUAAAUGUAUAUUAAAUGUUAUUCCCUCACUGAGUUGGUUGAACUCACCUCUCAUUUUUAAUAUUAUUUCAGGUUCUUAAUUUCUGAGACUUUGUUGAGUGUUUCCGCUUCUUCAGUUCUGGUCGGUAUGCCUUGCUUGUUCGCGAGGCUUUCCUUUCAGUUUUGAUUUGAUGUCUUAGACGCUCCACUGUUACCUUGUUUUAAUUAAGUUUGGAUUUUGGCAAUGUAAAUAGUAUUAUGAAUUAUUAUUUUUGUUUUAAUAACUAUCUUUCGGUUUCAUUAGUAUUUGAAUAAUAUAAUAUUUCUG
rnacentral:lncRNA from 1 species